UGGGGAAUAUUGCACAAUGGGCGCAAGCCUGAUGCAGCCAUGCCGCGUGUAUGAAGAAGGCCUUCGGGUUGUAAAGUACUUUCAGCGAGGAGGAAGGCAUUAAGGUUAAUAACCUUAGUGAUUGACGUUACUCGCAGAAGAAGCACCGGCUAACUCCGUGCCAGCAGCCGCGGUAAUACGGAGGGUGCAAGCGUUAAUCGGAAUUACUGGGCGUAAAGCGCACGCAGGCGGUCUGUCAAGUCGGAUGUGAAAUCCCCGGGCUCAACCUGGGAACUGCAUUCGAAACUGGCAGGCUAGAGUCUUGUAGAGGGGGGUAGAAUUCCAGGUGUAGCGGUGAAAUGCGUAGAGAUCUGGAGGAAUACCGGUGGCGAAGGCGGCCCCCUGGACAAAGACUGACGCUCAGGUGCGAAAGCGUGGGGAGCAAACA
rnacentral:rRNA from 1 species